rnacentral:rRNA from 1 species
AGAGACCCUAAUUAAUUAAUCACGGCCCAAAGAGCGGUUAAAUGGAAAUUUACACAAUAGUUUUAAAAAUUAACCAAGCAGUUAUACGUAAUAGUUAAAUCUAAAAUCAACAACGAAAGUAACACUAGCAAAUAAAGAAUAUUGAAGCCGCGAGAGCUAUGAUACAAACUGGGAUUAGAUACCCCACUAUGCCUAGCCAUAAACUUUGACAUAUCCGCCAGAGUACUACGAGCAACA